UACGUAGGUGGCAAGCGUUGUUCGGAAUUAUUGGGCGUAAAGAGCGUGUAGGCGGCUUUGCAAGUCCGUUGUGAAAACUCGAGGCUCAACCUCGAGACGCCGGUGGAAACUGCAAAGCUAGAGUCCGGAAGAGGAGAGUGGAAUUCCUGGUGUAGCGGUGAAAUGCGCAGAUAUCAGGAGGAACACCCGUGGCGAAAGCGGCUCUCUGGGACGGUACUGACGCUGAGACGCGAAAGCGUGGGGAGCGAACAGG
rnacentral:rRNA from 1 species